GACGAACGCUGGCGGCGUGCUUAACACAUGCAAGUCGAACGGCAAGGCACUGCUAUUGUGGGGUGAUCGGGUGGCGAACGGGUGAGUAACACGUGAGUAACCUGACCUAGACUUUGGGAUGACUUAAGGAAACUGGAGCUAAUACCGGAUCGGAGACCAUGCUGCAUGGUAGGGGUUGGAACGUUUCGGCGGGUGGGGUUGGAUUCGCGGCUGAUCAGCUUGUUGGUGGGGGAGUGGUAUACCAAGGGAGUGACGGGUACGCGGCCUGGGAGGGUGACCGGCCACAAGGGGACUGCGAGACGGCGCAGACUGCUACGGUGGGCAGCGGUGGGGAAUAUUGCACAAUGGUCGGAAGCCAGAUGAAGCGACGCCGCGUGCGGGAUGACGGCCUGCGGGUUAUAAACCGCUUUCGCCUGUGACGAAGCUUUAGUGACGGUAAUGGAUGAAGAAGCACCGGCUAACUACGUG
rnacentral:rRNA from 1 species